ACUGAAUAGAUACCCUGGUAGUCCACGCCGUAAACGAUGAGUGCUAAGUGUUAGAGGGUUUCCGCCCUUUAGUGCUGCAGCUAACGCAUUAAGCACUCCGCCUGGGGAGUACGGUCGCAAGACUGAAACUCAAAGGAAUUGACGGGGGCCCGCACAAGCGGUGGAGCAUGUGGUUUAAUUCGAAGCAACGCGAAGAACCUUACCAGGCCUUGACAUCCUCUGACAACUCUAGAGAUAGAGCGUUCCCCUUCGGGGGACAGAGUGACAGGUGGUGCAUGGUUGUCGUCAGCUCGUGUCGUGAGAUGUUGGGUUAAGUCCCGCAACGAGCGCAACCCUUGAUCUUAGUUGCCAGCAUUUAGUUGGGCACUCUAAGGUGACUGCCGGUGACAAACCGGAGGAAGGUGGGGAUGACGUCAAAUCAUCAUGCCCCUUAUGACCUGGGCUACACACGUGCUACAAUGGAUGGUACAAAGGGCUGCAAGACCGCGAGGUCAAGCCAAUCCCAUAAAACCAUUCUCAGUUCGGAUU
rnacentral:rRNA from 1 species